GAUGAACGCUGGCGGCGUGCCUAAUACAUGCAAGUCGAGCGAACAGAUGAGGAGCUUGCUCCUCUGACGUUAGCGGCGGACGGGUGAGUAACACGUGGAUAACCUACCUAUAAGACUGGGAUAACUUCGGGAAACCGGAGGUAAUACCGGAUAAUAUAUUGAACCGCAUGGUUCAAUAGUGAAAGACGGUUUUGCUGUCACUUAUAGAUGGAUCCGCGCCGCAUUAGCUAGUUGGUAAGGUAACGGCUUACCAAGGCAACGAUGCGUAGCCGACCUGAGAGGGUGAUCGGCCACACUGGAACUGAGACACGGUCCAGACUCCUACGGGAGGCAGCAGUAGGGAAUCUUCCGCAAUGGGCGAAAGCCUGACGGAGCAACGCCGCGUGAGUGAUGAAGGUCUUCGGAUCGUAAAACUCUGUUAUUAGGGAAGAACAAAUGUGUAAGUAACUAUGCACGUCUUGACGGUACCUAAUCAGAAAGCCACGGCUAACUACGUG
rnacentral:rRNA from 1 species